GACGGAGGGUGCAAACGUUGUUCGGAAUCACUGGGCAUAAAGAGCACGUAGGCUGCGCGCUAAGUCGGAUGUGAAAUCCCCAGGCUUAACCUGGGAACUGCAUCCGAUACUGGUCGGCUUGAAUCCGGGAGAGGGAUGCAGAAUUCCAGGUGUAGCGGUGAAAUGCGUAGAUAUCUGGAGGAAUACCGGUGGCGAAGGCGGCAUCCUGGACCGGCAUUGACGCUGAACAGCGAAAGCUAGGGGAGCAAACGGG
rnacentral:rRNA from 1 species